rnacentral:rRNA from 1 species
UGGGGAAUUUUGGACAAUGGGCGAAAGCCUGAUCCAGCAAUGCCGCGUGUGUGAAGAAGGCCUUCGGGUUGUAAAGCACUUUUGUCCGGAAAGAAAUCCUUGGCUCUAAUACAGUCGGGGGAUGACGGUACCGGAAGAAUAAGCACCGGCUAACUACGUGCCAGCAGCCGCGGUAAUACGUAGGGUGCAAGCGUUAAUCGGAAUUACUGGGCGUAAAGCGUGCGCAGGCGGUUUGCUAAGACCGAUGUGAAAUCCCCGGGCUCAACCUGGGAACUGCAUUGGUGACUGGCAGGCUAGAGUAUGGCAGAGGGGGGUAGAAUUCCACGUGUAGCAGUGAAAUGCGUAGAGAUGUGGAGGAAUACCGAUGGCGAAGGCAGCCCCCUGGGCCAAUACUGACGCUCAUGCACGAAAGCGUGGGGAGCAAAACAGGAUUAGAUACCCUGGUAGUCCACGCCCUAAACGAUGUCAACUAGUUGUUGGGGAUUCAUUUCCUUAGUAACGUAGCUAACGCGUGAAGUUGACCGCCUGGGGAGUACGGUCGCAAGAUUAAAAC